CAUGAAUAUAUGAAUAUCUGCCCCUAGUGUUUUAGGUUCCGGUAAAACACCAUUGUCCAUAUAAUAAAAUAUACUUUGGUUCCUCUUGGUGUGUAAUGUUUGCAUGCCGUAUUUUCAAUUCCAGGUUAUUUUUUGACGUCCUUUUGUCUAUAUUGUUGUGGGAAUUUAAAUGUUUAAUUAAUCACUUAUGUACUGAAGCAUUGCGUUGUAUUUCAUCUGCUUCCAAAACAGCGACGUGUAGCC